ACCGUUCAAAAUGAAGAUCAAUGAGUUAAGAACGUGCUAGCCAAAAAUAAUCUCGAUCAGACCACGGAUUAAUCUCGAUCAAGGCUGAAUAUCAGAACUGCCCGGGUGAGAAGAAAUCAGCGACAAAGAUGCACUGUUCACGAACUGAAACAACAACCUUCCGGAACUCCAAAUCCAAUCUCCACCGUUCAGAUUAGAGAUCAAUGAGUUGAGAAUCUCUCCUUCAAAUUUCAGGUCGAUCGGACCACACACGAAGCGGGAUCGGUCGUUUGAUGAAAUCUGGACAGUAAAGAGAAGAAAAGAAAUCAACGUUUUUCUUCUCUCUAACUUCAAAAAUUCAAUGGCUCUGGUCCUUUUUCUCUCCAACUUUCUCUUCCUUUUUCUUCUUACUCUCCUCCUAGGGCUGCAAAGAUGAAGAAGAAGAAGAGAAAAUGGUUUCUUCUUCCCUUUUUAUACAUUAAGGCCUAAGAAGCCUUAAAUGUUUGGGCUUUGAGCUUUCCUCCACAAGAAGGAAAUAACCCAACCCAACAAAUCUCCCCCUUUCCGACUAUGUGGAGGGACUCACCAUCCCAGCGAUGGAACAACAAACUCCAAGCUUCUCCCUUGGUAGUGUCUUUGUCAACAUAUCCGAGCCAUUGUUAUCUGUAUGUAUCUUCUCAAUUUCAAACAAGUUAUCAUUGAGAGCAUCUCUCAUCCAAUGAUACCUCACAUCAAUGUGUUUUGAUCUUGCAUGAUAGGUAGAAUUCUUACUGAGGUGAAUAGCACUUUGGUUAUCACAGUAUACCACAUAGCGCUGUUGUUUAAACCCGAGCUCUUGCAUGAAACACUUCAACCACAACAACUCUUUACAUGCUUCUGCUGCUGCAAUGUACUCUGCCUCUGUUGUAGAAAGUGCAACACAUUUCUGUAGUCUCGAUUGCCAAGACACAGCACCUCCUGAGAAUGUCAUCAAAUAGCCUGAAGUAGACCUUCUAUUAUCCACAUCCCCUGCCAUGUCUGAAUCAGUGUAUCCAACAAGUAUUGGUUUCCCACUUCCAAAAGUGAGUUUCAACUUGGAAGUGCCUCGUAAAUAUCUCAUAAUCCACUUGACUGCUUCCCAAUAAUGUCUUCCUGGAUUCGAUAAAAACCGGCUAACAACACCAACUGCAUAAGCUAUGUCUGGUCUAGUACAUACCAUGGCAUACAUCAAACUUCCUACUGCUGAGGCAUACGGAACUCUUCUCAUGUCUUCCUUCUCCUUAUCUGUAGAAGGGCUAUGUCUGCUGCUUAGCUUAAAGUGACUAGCUAGAGGAGAACUAACCACUUUGGCUUUGCCCAUGUUAAACCUCGCAAGCACUUUUUCGAUAUAUUGCUCUUGUAACAUACAUAGCUUCUUGGAUGCUCUAUCCCGCUCAAUUCUGAUGCCAAGAAUUCUCUUUACUGGCCCUAAAUCCUUCAUGGCAAAGGAUUUGCUUAACUGCUUCUUCAAGUUAUCAAUUCUUGAAACAUUCCUGCCAACAAUCAAGAUAUCAUCAACAUAGAGCAACAAUAUAACAAAAUCAUCAUCAGAGAAUUUCUGCACAAAUACACAAUGGUCAGAAGUAGUUUUUCGGUAGCCUUGCUCCCCCAUAACUGACUCAAACUUCUUAUACCACUGCCUCGGUGCUUGCUUCAAGCCAUAAAGACUUUUCUUCAGCUUACACACAUAAUCAAGACUAGCUGCCAAGCCCAAAACCACACGAAUAUAUGACAUCUUAACAACAGGAGAAAAAAUCUCAUCAAAAUCAAUACCUUUCUUUUGAUUGAACCCUUUGACGACCAAUCUAGCUUUGUAACGAGGUUGUGAAGUGUGUUCUUCUUGCUUCACUCUGUAAACCCACCUGUUCUUCAAAGCUCUUUUUCCUUUUGGCAACUUGACAAGCUCAAAAGAAUGGUUCUCAUGCAAUGACUCCAUCUCAUCUCGCAUAGCAUCAACCCACUUCAUCUUAUUUUCAUCUUUCAUGGCUUCCACAUAACUUUCAGGUUCUCCCCCGUCAGUUAGUAAUACAUAGUCAUCAACAGAAUACCGUGUGGAAGGAUGUCGGUCUCUGGUAGACCUUCUAAGUGGAAUAUCUGAUAGAGCCUCUGCUGCUGGUGACUGCUCAUGAACAUCAUCAUCCACCUCAACUUGUAUGGGUAUUUCAACAUCACCCAUGUCAUGUUGGUCAUCAUGUGCUUCAUCUUCAACUUGUGUGGGUGUUUCAACAUCACCCAUGUCAUGUUGGUCAUCAUGUGCUUCAUCUUCAACUUGUGUAGGAAGAUUUGCCAAAGGGACUGGAUCUAAAUCAAUCAAAUCACUACUAUGUUGAGACUCCAUUGGAUUAGUCUUCUCAAUAUCCUGUAUAGUAUGGUCUUCCAUAAACACAACAUCUCAACUUCUUACAAGUUUUUUCUGCACCGGAUCAUAAAACCUGUAACCAAGCUCAUCCUGACCAUAGCCAAUAAAUACACAAGGUCUUGUCUUAGCAUCAAGCUUAGAUCUCUCAUCUUUAGGAAUAUGCACAAAAGCCUUGCAUCCAAAGACACGCAAGUGAUCAUAAGAGAUUUCAUUAUUUGACCAAAUCCUAUCCGGAACAUCAAAUUCUAAAGGAACACAUGGUGUAAGAUUGAGAACAUGUACAACAGUAUUCAAAGCCUCACCCCAAAAAGAUAUUGGCAACUGUGACUGCGAAAGUAAGCAUCUUACUCUUUCAACCAGUGUCCUAUUCAUUCUCUCAGCCAACCCAUUCAACUGAGGAGUCUUAGGAGGUGUCUUUUGAUGUCGAAUACCAUGUUGUCUACAAUACUCAUCAAAAGGACCAGAAUACUCACCCCCAUUAUCAGUUCGGAUACAUUUCAACUUUUCACCAGAUUGUCUUUCAACAAGCGCAUGAAACUGCUUAAACACGUCUAACACUUGGUUUUUUGUUUUCAAAGUAUAAACCCAAAUCUUUCUUGAAUGAUCAUCUAUAAAAGUCACAAAAUAUAGAGAUCCACCAAGUGUUUUUGUUUUCAUAGGGCCACACACAUCAGAAUACACUAAAUCAAGCAUACCUGGCUUCCUUGUAUGGUGAAGUGUUUUGAAUGCAACUCUGGUCUGCUUUCCUGCUAAGCAAUGAGCACACCUCUUCAAAGAUCCCUUCUUCAUACCAGAAAGAAGAUUCUUUUUAGCCAAAAUCAUCAAGCCCUUUUCACUCAUGUGACCAAGCCUGUUGUGCCAAAGCUCAAAUGUACUAUCAUCAUCCACUGCAUUGAUACUGGAAUCAAUUACCCUUGCCUGCAUCAAAUACAAUGAGGAACUCUUAUUUCCUUUUGCUAUCACCAUAGAACCUCUAGUGAGCUUCCACUGACUAUCACGGAAGGUGUUGCAGAACCCUUCAUCAUCAAGCUUUCCUGUGGAGAUUAAAUUCAUGCGAAUAUCCGGAAUGUGUUUAACAUUCUUCAAAGUCAACAUAGUACCAUUACUAGUCUCCAAACGUACAUCUCUCAUACCAAUGGCUUUAGCUGAGCCAUCAUUACCCAUCCUAAUAUUUCCAAAAUCACCGGAUGUGUAGGAUGUAAAGAAAUCCUUCCGAGGUGUAGCAUGGAUGGAGGCACCACUGUCAAUCACCCAACUGGUUUCCUGGCAAGCAAAAUUAACAACAUCACUAUCAUAAACAAUAAGGAAAUCUGAAGUGGUAGUAGCAACUUGAUCAUCUUCACCACCAUUGUCAUUCUUCUUUUCCUUCACUUUCCCUUGUUUCAUAUCUCUCUUCAAUUGGUGACAAUAUUUUUUUAUAUGCCCUUUCAAAUGGCAGUAGUGGCACUCAACAUUGGCAAACUUGUUAGUUUUGCUUUUGCUUCUAUCUCUGUUCUUCGGACCUCUACUCUUACUCCUCCCUCUCUUCUCAAUAACUAGGACACUUGACUGUGAAGAAGAGCCCUGUGACUUUCUUCUCAUUUCUUCAUUUAGAACACAACUCUUAACUAAGUCCAUAUUCAUAAUACCAUAUGGGGCUGAGUUAGACAAAGAAGUUCUAAACGUCUCCCACGAGUCCGGCAAUGUACCAAGAAGCCACAACCCUUGCACCUCCUCCUCAAACUUGAUAUUCAUUCCAGCCAACUGAUUAAUAAUACCUUGGAAUGUAUUCAAAUGAUCUGUCAUAGGAGUUCCAUCUUGAUACUUCAAACUCAUCAUCUUCUUGAUUAGAAACAAUUUAUUAUUGCCAGUCUUUCGAGCAUAUAACUGUUCGAUCUUAUUCCAUAGACUCCUUGCAUGUUUCUCUUCACUAACAUGAUUGAGAACAUUAUCAUCUACCCACUGUCUGAUAUAACCGCAAACCUGUCGAUGAAGUAAAUUCCAUUCUGCAUCAGUUUUAUUUUCUGGCCUUUCAGAAGCAAACACAGGCAAAUAAUAAUCCUUCACAUAAAAUAAGUCUUCCAUUUUUCCUUUCCAAACAUGAUAAUUGGAACCAUUCAGAGUGAUCAUUCUACUUGUAUUGCUUUCCAUUGUUCUACACAAGGCACAAAUUAUUUUGAACCUGGCUCUGAUACCACUUUGAUGGGAUAAACGUAAACAAUGCACAACCAGAUUUUAUCCCCUCUUGUGAGAACCUAAUAGGAAUCAAUUUAAUAGAGUAACAACAAUUCACCCAAUGCAACAAGAAUAUGAACACCAACAAUUUUUAGCGUGGAAAACCUUCCCAAAUGUGAGAAGUAAAAACCACGGGACCCUUAGGCCACUUAAACCCUCCACUAAUAUAAUCAAUGGGUUACACAAUUCUCUCUAGAUGAAACUAGAGGUUUACAUCAGCCAUAUCUCAAGACAAUUAGUCUUGGCAAAUACAAAACAACUUGCAUAAAACAAUAGAGAGAUCUCACCAAAACAGAGUCACUGUUCCUAGACACAAAUCACCACUGUUCCAAACUCCAAAUCCAAUCUCCACCGUUCAAAAUGAAGAUCAAUGAGUUAAGAACGUGCUAGCCAAAAAUCAUCUCGAUCAGACCACGGAUUAAUCUCGAUCAAGGCUGAAUAUCAUAACUGCCUAGGUGAGAAGAAAUCAGCGACAAAGACGCACUGUUCACGGACUGAAACAACAACCUUCCGGAACUCCAAAUCCGAUCUCCACCGUUCAGAUUAGAGAUCAAUGAGUUGAGAAUCUCUCCUUCAAAUUUCAGGUCGAUCGGACCACACACGAAGCGGGAUCGGUCGUUUGAUGAAAUCUGGACAGUAAAGAGAAGAAAAGAAAUCAACGUUUUUCUUCUCUCUAACUUCAAAAAUUCAAUGGCUCUGGUCCUUUUUCUCUCCAACUUUCUCUUCCUUUUUCUUCUUACUCUCCUCCUAGGGC
rnacentral:lncRNA from 1 species